AAUCUGACACAUUAAAAUUAUUAGACGAAUAAUUCAUCAACGCCUUUUGUUACGUACAUGGAAUUUUUGCUAAUAAAAACGAGAAAAAAGAGGAUAAAAGGAUAAAGUCACCCUUUUGACUUCAAGAAGAGAGCAGAAGUCUGACCGUCUGAUAAAAAACGUACUUAGCCCACUUAAACCCCCUUUAUUUAAACUGAUAAUAACUUGAACUAGACAAAAAAUAAUAUUUACUCUUGCAGGUUCUUCAUCUUUAUAUAAAAAAAGACCACGAUAUUUUUCACCUAAAGUGCUAUAAAAAUAUUUAAUCACGAAUCAUGCUGACUUAAUUCGACUUAAGAUUAGCUAAGACCUUCAGUCCUCAAAACAUAAUUUUAUCCGAUAGAUGAAUAAAUUUUCUAGAAGAUUAGCUAGCUUUAAAUGCUUAAUUUAAUUUUAUUGUGCCUAAAAUAAGGUUUGAGCAAAGAAGGUCAGAAAUAAAACGUAAUGAAAUGGACAG